rnacentral:lncRNA from 1 species
GUAAUGGGCUUCUUGGUGACAAGGGGGCAUGCCAAGGGCAGUUUAGGGGCUGGGCAAUUCAAUGGCAAGGUACUUGAAGCGCAAUCCUAAUUAAUCUUAUUAAUUAAGACUAAUUAAUUAGAGUCAGAUAUUAGGGGGUGAAAGCUGAAAGAUCAGAGAAGCAGAGCAGCCAGCCACUAGAUUUCUUACCUCUACCAAAUCUCAGACUGAAAGGGCCAGACCAUAAUCUCUACGAAUCCUCAGACUGAAUGGGUCCGAGAUCCUGUCUCCACCAGCCUUAUAUUCUUGUCUGUGCCUCCCAAGUACUAGGCUCAAAAGCAUGAGAUCCCAGGUUCUGGGAUCAAAGAUCUCUCUCUUAUGAAAAACCAUGGACCCCAGUUUGUGUUGGCGUACUACUUCUGGUCACCGGGCCUUCCCUGGAGCGUGGUCAAUAUACCAGGUGUAUCUGCUGAAGAAAACUGACUUCCCUCUCUCAGAACCAGCAGCUCUCAAAGGCCAAUCAUUCCUCAUAGCUCCUCACUCAUGGUGGGACUUCAUGGCCACCUCUUCCCCCACACUGGGAUUCUGU